AACUUUUAACAAUGGAUCACUUGGCUCUCGCAUCGAAGAAGAACGCAGCGAAAUGCGAUAAGUAAUGUGAAUUGCAGAUUUUCAGUGAAUCAUCGAAUCUUUGAACGCACCUUGCGCUCCUUGGUAUUCCGAGGACCAUGCCUGUUUGAGUGUCAUUAGAUUCUCAACUCCGAUCGAUUUGUUUUGAUCCCGGAGCUUGGAUGUGGAGUGUGCCGGCGUGAGUCGGCUCCUCUCAAAUGCAUCAGCGGAAAUUCAACCUUUGGUUUCUGGAUGUCAGUGUGAUAAUCAUGUUGCGCUGUCGUUCGAACCUCGGAGUCCGGCUUACAAUGGUCUUCGGACAAACCUCAUCGUCAAUUUGACCUCAAAUCAGGUAGGACUACCCGCUGAACUUAAGCAUAUCAAUAAGCGGAGGCU
rnacentral:misc_RNA from 1 species